ensembl:ncRNA H21P03.6 ncRNA
AACGAGAAACUAGGAACUCAGUCGACCGCAAAAAACGGGAAAAUAAAUGUGUGUAUAUUCAGGAUGAUGGCCAUGUCAUGGAUGGCAAAAAAGGGUUAAAACGUUGGAAUUCGCAUUGUGCCUCUUCCUCGUCCUCUCGUUUUGAAAAUAUAGAUAGGAUCCGAUGAGAGACGCUGACAAAUGAUUGAGGUUAGGGUAGACGUGAGAUACUUGAUGAAGAUGUAGAGACACAGAGGCAGGGACCCUGGAAUCGAUGCGAGGGAGCCGUCUGAAGAUGGAGCAUUCCCUUCUAGAAAAGGGUCCCAGCGGCUUCUCUGUUUCUCUUCGUAUUUCUCCGUUUGGCACACAAAGAGGCUCCGCUCCUUUUUUUUUGAAGCGGAGCAAAACUAGGAUGACAAAGAAC